CAGCCGCCGCGGUAAAACGUAGGGGGCGAGCGUUGUCCGGAAUUACUGGGCGUAAAGGGCGUGUAGGCGGCUAGGUAAGUCAGGUGUGAAAACUUUUGGCUCAACCAGGAGACUGCACCUGAAACUGCGUAGCUUGAGGGUAGGAGAGGAAAGUGGAAUUCCUAGUGUAGCGGUGAAAUGCGUAGAUAUUAGGAGGAACACCAGUGGCGAAGGCGACUUUCUGGCCUAACCCUGACGCUGAGGCGCGAAAGCGUGGGGAGCAAACAGGAUUAGAUACCCUGGUAGUCCACGCCGUAAACGAUGGGUACUAGGUGUAGGAGGUAUCGACGCCUUCUGUGCCGCAGCAAACGCAUUAAGUACCCCGCCUGGGGAGUACGGCCGCAAGGCUGAAACUCAAAGGAAUUGACGGGGGCCCGCACAAGCGGUGGAGCAUGUGGUUUAAUUCGACGCAACGCGAAGAACCUUACCGGGUCUUGACAUCCCCUGAAAUAGGUGAAAGCCGAAAUAGACUUUGGUCACAGGGAGACAGGAGGUGCAUGGCC
rnacentral:rRNA from 1 species